UAGCAGCAACACUCACAAACCGAAAGAGGUCAUGGCUGGAACAUGUCUUAUUCACUGUGUCCUGAUUCAAGUCCUGCUUAUCACAGUCUAUGCUCAAUUACCAACAAACUGUACAAAUCAAACUACCACUGAGGGAAAACCAGUACAACUAACCUGCAAUGUUACAUGUAAAAAAUGUGAAACACAGAGUUAUUUUUAGAAGCAUGGAGAAGCUACAAUCAACUGCAGUAAAAUGCAUAACUUUCCAAGUGGCAACAGUCAUAUAUUUAAUUGCACAAUUGAAAGUGCAUCAGCGAGUCACAGUGGAACAUUUACAUUUUGGGUACAAAUGAAAGAAGGAAUUGGUGAAACAAAAUUCAACGUGACCAUAGUGCCGCGUGCUGCUAAUCUCACCACACCAGGUACUGUUUCUACAACCAAUUCUCACGGUCAUGAA